AAGACCUUGCGCUUUUGGAGCGGCCGAUGUCUGAUUAGUUUGUUGGUGAGGUAAAAGCUUACCAAGGCUUCGAUCAGUAGCUGGUCUGAGAGGACGGCCAGCCACACUGGGACUGAGACACGGCCCAGACUCCUACGGGAGGCAGCAGUGGGGAAUUUUGGACAAUGGGGGCAACCCUGAUCCAGCCAUGCCGCGUGAGUGAAGAAGGCCUUCGGGUUGUAAAGCUCUUUCAGCCGGAACGAAACGGUUACGGUUAAUACCCGUGACUACUGACGGUACCGGAAGAAGAAGCACCGGCUAACUACGUGCCAGCAGCCGCGGUAAUACGUAGGGUGCAAGCGUUAAUCGGAAUUACUGGGCGUAAAGCGUGCGCAGGUGGUUUUGUAAGUCAGAUGUGAAAUCCCCGGGCUUAACCUGGGAACU
rnacentral:rRNA from 1 species